rnacentral:rRNA from 1 species
GAUGAACGCUGGCGGCGUGCCUAAUACAUGCAAGUCGAGCGAACAGACGAGGAGCUUGCUCCUCUGACGCUAGCGGCGGACGGGUGAGUAACACGUGGAUAACCUACCUAUAAGACUGGGAUAACUUCGGGAAACCGGAGCUAAUACCGGAUAAUAUAUUGAACCGCAUGGUUCAAUAGUGAAAGACGGUUUUGCUGUCACUUAUAGAUGGAUCCGCGCCGCAUUAGCUAGUUGGUAAGGUAACGGCUUACCAAGGCGACGAUGCGUAGCCGACCUGAGAGGGUGAUCGGGCACACUGGAACUGAGACACGGUCCAGACUCCUAAGGGAGGCAGCAGUAGGGAAUCUUCCGCAAUGGGCGAAAGCCUGACGGAGCAACGCCGCGUGAGUGAUGAAGGUCUUCGGAUCGUAAAACUCUGUUAUUAGGGAAGAACAAAUGUGUAAGUAACUAUGCACGUCUUGACGGUACCUAAUCAGAAAGCCACGGCUAACUACGUG